UACGUAGGCAGCGAGCGUUGUUCGGAAUUACUGGGCGUAAAGAGUGUGUAGGCGGUGCUGUAAGUCCGGUGUGAAAUCUCCCGGCUUAACUGGGAGGGUGCGCCGGAAACUGGAGUGCUCGAGCGUGGGAGAGGAAAGCGGAAUUCCUGGUGUAGCGGUGAAAUGCGUAGAUAUCAGGAGGAACACCAAUGGCGAAGGCAGCUCGCUGGGACGUGACUGACGCUGAUGCGCGAAAGCGUGGGGAGCGAUCCGG
rnacentral:rRNA from 1 species